rnacentral:rRNA from 1 species
UACAGAGGUGGCAAGCGUUGUUCGGAAUUACUGGGCGUAAAGGGCGCGUAGGCGGCCUUCUAAGUCGGACGUGAAAGCCCCAGGCUUAACCUGGGAACUGCGUCCGAUACUGGAAGGCUUGGAUUCGGGAGAGGGAUGUGGAAUUCCAGGUGUAGCGGUGAAAUGCGUAGAUAUCGGGAGGAACACCAGUGGCGAAGGCGGCUUACUGGUCCGGUUCUGACGCUGAGGCGCGAAAGCCAGGGGAGCGAACGGG